UACGGAAGGCAGCAGUGGGGAAUAUUGCACAAUGGGCGCAAAGCCUGAUGCAGCCAUGCCGCGUGUAUGAAGAAGGCCGUUCGGGUUGUAAAGUACUUUCAGUCGUGAGGAAGGUGUUAAGGUUAAUAACCUUAGCAAUUGACGUUAGCGACAGAAGAAGCACCGGCUAACUCCGUGCCAGCAGCCGCGGUAAUACGGAGGGUGCGAGCGUUAAUCGGAAUUACUGGGCGUAAAGGGCACGCAGGCGGUUAAUUAAGUUGGAUGUGAAAUCCCCGGGCUUAACCUGGGAAUGGCAUUCAAGACUGGUUAGCUAGAGUCUUGUAGAGGGGGUAGAAUUCCAUGUGUAGCGGUGAAAUGCGUAGAGAUGUGGAGGAAAUACCGGUGGCGAAGGCGGCCCCUGGGACAAAGACUGACGCUCAUGUGCGAAAGCGUGGGGAGCAAACAGGGAUUAGAUACC
rnacentral:rRNA from 1 species